rnacentral:lncRNA from 1 species
AGUACUCAGUCAAUUAGCAGAACUCAGUGAACUCAAUCCAGUUCAGUCAGUCAACACGUUUAGUGUCAGUUCAUUUAAGCCUAGUACAGUCUAGUGAUCAGUUCACUAUCGAUUUUAGUUGGGAGUAGGAUUCAGCACCGAGCAAACCUGGGGAUGGGGGCAUUCCUUCCAGCAGAGGGUUUGACCCUUAGUAGCAAUCCUUGCAUUACAUAACUACGUAGCCAGCGU